CUACGUGCCAGCAGCCGCGGUAAUACGGAAGGUCCAGGCGUUAUCCGGAUUUAUUGGGUUUAAAGGGAGUGUAGGCGGUUUGUUAAGCGUGUUGUGAAAUUUAGGUGCUCAACAUUUAACUUGCAGCGCGAACUGUCAGACUUGAGUACACGCAACGUAUGCGGAAUUCAUGGUGUAGCGGUGAAAUGCUUAGAUAUCAUGAAGAACUCCAAUUGCGAAGGCAGCAUACGGGAGUGUAACUGACGCUUAAGCUCGAAGGUGCGGGUAUCGAACAGGAUUAGAUACCCUGGUAGUCCGCACAGUAAACGAUGGAUGCCCGCUGUUGGUACCUGGUAUCAGCGGCUAAGCGAAAGCAUUAAGCAUCCCACCUGGGGAGUACGCCGGCAACGGUGAAACUCAAAGGAAUUGACGGGGGCCCGCACAAGCGGAGGAACAUGUGGUUUAAUUCGAUGAUACGCGAGGAACCUUACCCGGGCUUGAAUUGCAGAGGAAGGAUUUAGAGAUAAUGACG
rnacentral:rRNA from 1 species